rnacentral:rRNA from 1 species
UUAAAAGUGAUUACCUGGGUAGUAUAUAGUUAUUUUCUUGAAACCCAAAGAGUUUGGCGGUAUCUCAGUCUAGUUAGAGGAGCUUGUUCCGUAAUCGAUAAUCCGCGAAGAAUCUUACGUGCUCUUGUAAACAGUUUAUAUACCGUCGUUAUUAGAUAAUGUUAAAAGAUAAAUAAUUAUCUAAAUAUAAUAAAAUAUAAUAUAUCAGAUCAAGGUGUAAUUAAUGAGCAUGGAGUGAAUGAGCUACAGUUUAUAACUUAUAAAAUACGAAAAUUAACUUUAAAUUAGUUAGUGGAAGGUGGAUUUAAUAGUAACUUUAUUUUAGCAAGUUCUGGUGAUAAAAGCUCUGAGAUAUGU